AUCACAAUACAAUAAAUCUGGA
rnacentral:miRNA from 1 species